UACGGAGGGUGCAAGCGUUAUCCGGAUUCACUGGGUUUAAAGGGUGCGUAGGUGGGCUGGUAAGUCAGUGGUGAAAUCUCCAGGCUUAACUUGGAAACUGCCAUUGAUACUAUCAGUCUUGAAUACCGUGGAGGUCAGCGGAAUAUGUCAUGUAGCGGUGAAAUGCUUAGAUAAUGACAUAGAACACCAAUUGCGAAGGCAGCUGGCUACACGAAUAUUGACACUGAUGCACGAAAGCGUUGGGGAUCAAACAGGA
rnacentral:rRNA from 1 species